GAGUUUGAUCCUGGCUCAGGAUUAACGCUGGCGGCAUGCCUAAUACAUGCAAGUCGAACGGAGUAGCAAUACUUAGUGGCGAACGGGUGAGUAACACGUAUCUAAUCUACCAUUUAGUGGAGAAUAACUGUUGGAAACGACAGCUAAUACCGCAUAAUAUUGCUGGAUAAUUUCCAGUAAUGAAAGGAGCUUUCAAGCUCCGCUGAUUGAUGAGGAUGCGGCGCAUUAGCUAGUUGGUAUGGUAAUGGCCUACCAAGGCAAUGAUGCGUAGCCGAUCUGAGAGGAUGAACGGCCACAUUGGGACUGAGACACGGCCCAAACUUCUACGGAAGGCAGCAGUAGGGAAUUUUUCACAAUGGGCGAAAGCCUGAUGGAGCAAUGCCGCGUGACUGAUGAAGGUCUUCGGAUUGUAAAGGUCUGUUGUAAGGGAAGAAAUGGUAAAACAGGAAAUGGUUUUAUCUAUGACGGUACCUUACCAGAAAGCCACGGCUAACUAUGUGCCAGCAGCCGCGGUAAUACAUAGGUGGCAAGCGUUAUCCGGAUUUAUUGGGCGUAAAGGGUGCGUAGACGGUUUUGCAAGUCUGAGGUUAAAUUUAGGAGCUCAACUCCUAAUCGCCUUGGAAACUACAAGACUAGAGUAUAGGAGAGGUUAGUGGAAUUCCAUGUGUAGCGGUGGAAUGUGUAGAUAUAUGGAGGAACACCAGUGGCGAAC
rnacentral:rRNA from 1 species